UACUACCAAUUAGGGACUCGGUAGAAGUUCUCGUAUUUUCAGUUACUUAGAUCGCCUAUGGCGUGCGAGGCGCAAAUGUGGAGGAGUUAAAGGUAACCUGGUGCGACCUAUUAUCCCAUUGGUGGCUGGAAUUGAUUGGACAAAGUGGAAGAGGAUCCAAAACUCACUGUCCUCAAGGAAGCAUCUACUGGGAGAGACAAGCAAGAUAUACAAACAGCCAAUGAGCACAUGAAGAUGUUCAACAUCUGGAAAACGUAAGUCAAAGCUAACUACUUCACACACACCAGGAUGGCUAAAAUGAAAAAGACAGCAGCAAGCGUUGAUGAGGAUAUGGGGAGAUUACACCCGUCAACACUGCCUGUGGGAAUGGAAAAUGGUACGACUUUGAGGAAAACAGCUGAUUGGUUCUUCAAAAAGUCAAAACGGCCAAUAACCAUUUGACUCAGCGACUCCACUGCUAGGGAGCUGACCUGCAGAUUACUUGAUUCCUCAGGGUUUUAGCUGGGUCUAGCCAAGGAGAGUCACAGCAGGAUACGCAAGCCUGUGGAAGUGAGAGAGAGACAACGCAUGAGAGGAGGAGG